AGGACGAACGCUGGCGGCGUGCUUAACACAUGCAAGUCGAACGUCCUUGCGGUCUUCUUCUUCGGAGGAGGACCGCGAGGGAGUGGCGGACGGGUGAGUAACACAUGGGUACCUGCCUUUCAGUGAGGAAUACCGGCGAGAAAUCGCCGACAAGACCGCAUAGGCUUCCUUCGGUAGCCCGAGGGAAGCAAAGUUACUUCGCGAGAGGUGACGCUGGAAGAGGGGCCUGUGGCCGAUUAGCUAGUUGGGGGGGUAACGGCCUCCCAAGGCGACGAUCGGUAGCUGGUCUGAGAGGACGAUCAGCCACACUGGGAUUGAGAACGGCCCAGACUCCUACGGGGGGCAGCAGUGAGGAAUUUUCCGCAAUGGACGAAAGUCUGACGGAGCAACGCCGCGUGCAGGAGGAAGGUUUUCGGAUCGUAAACUGCUUUUCUCGGGGACGAGCAAGGACGGUACCCGAGGAAGAAGCCCCGGCUAACUACGCGCCAGCAGCCGCGGUAA
rnacentral:rRNA from 1 species